UACGGAGGGAGCUAGCGUUGUUCGGAAUUACUGGGCGUAAAGGGCUCGUAGGCGGCCAACUAAGUCAGACGUGAAAUCCCCAGGCUCAACCUGGGAACUGCGUCUGAUACUGCUUGGCUUGAGGUCCGGAGGGGAGAGUGGAAUUCCCGGUGGAGCGGUGAAAUGCGUAGAGAUCGGGAAGAACGCCGGCGGCGAAAGCGACUCUCUGGUCGGAAUCUGACGCUGAGGUGCGAAAGCUAGGGGAGCAAACGGG
rnacentral:rRNA from 1 species